AUUGGAUUGAGAACAACGUACAACUCUUAUCGAUAAGCCAUUGGAGGGCAAGUCUGGUGCCAGCAGCCGCGGUAAUUCCAGCUCCAAUAGCGUAUAUUAACGUUGUUGCAGUUAAAAAGCUCGUAGUUGAAGUGAGGGAGUGUGUGUUCAUGAGAGCUAGUCUCGAGUGUUCACAACCUCCCCCCUCCAAUCGGUGUAGUGGGGUAUUCAGUUAUUUUACUACUCCUUUGGUCGUUUACUGUGAGAAAAUUAGAGUGUUCAAAGCGGGCGUUUGUUUGAAUAGAUUAGCAUGGAAUAAUGAUUGAAGGCUUUCGUGUUCGAUUUGAUUGGUUUGUUCAUGGAAGCAAGGUUAAAAGGAACAGUUGGGGGUAUUCAUAUUCACUAGUUAGAGGUGAAAUUCUCGGAUUUAUGGAAGAUGAACAAGUGCGAAAGCA
rnacentral:rRNA from 1 species